rnacentral:rRNA from 1 species
GAGUUUGAUCCUGGCUCAGAUUGAACGCUGGCGGCAGGCCUAACACAUGCAAGUCGAGCGGUAGAGAGAAGCUUGCUUCUCUUGAGAGCGGCGGACGGGUGAGUAAUGCCUAGGAAUCUGCCUGGUAGUGGGGGAUAACGCUCGGAAACGGACGCUAAUACCGCAUACGUCCUACGGGAGAAAGCAGGGGACCUUCGGGCCUUGCGCUAUCAGAUGAGCCUAGGUCGGAUUAGCUAGUUGGUGAGGUAAUGGCUCACCAAGGCGACGAUCCGUAACUGGUCUGAGAGGAUGAUCAGUCACACUGGAACUGAGACACGGUCCAGACUCCUACGGGAGGCAGCAGUGGGGAAUAUUGGACAAUGGGCGAAAGCCUGAUCCAGCCAUGCCGCGUGUGUGAAGAAGGUCUUCGGAUUGUAAAGCACUUUAAGUUGGGAGGAAGGCAGUAAAUUAAUACUUGCUGUUUUGACGUUACCGACAGAAUAAGCACCGGCUAACUCUGUGCCAGCCGCCG